GAUGAGCGCUGGCGGCGUGCCUAAUACAUGCAAGUCGAGCGAAUGGAUUGAGAGCUUGCUCUUAUGAAGUUAGCGGCGGACGGGUGAGUAACACGUGGGUAACCUGCCCAUAAGACUAGGAUAACUCCGGGAAACCGGGGCUAAUACCGGAUAACAUUUUGAACCGCAUGGUUCGAAAUUGAAAGGCGGCCUCGGCUGUCACUUAUGGAUGGACCCGCGUCGCAUUAGCUAGUUGGUGAGGUAACGGCUCACCAAGGCAACGAGGCGUAGCCGACCUGAGAGGGUGAUCGGCCACACUGGGACUGAGACACGGCCCAGACUCCUACGGGAGGCAGCAGUAGGGAAUCUUCCGCAAUGGACGAAAGUCUGACGGAGCAACGCCGCGUGAGUGAUGAAGGCUUUCGGGUCGUAAAACUCUGUUGUUAGGGAAGAACAAGUGCUAGUUGAAUAAGCUGGCACCUUGACGGUACCUAACCAGAAAGCCACGGCCAACUACGUGCCAGCAGCCGCAGUAA
rnacentral:rRNA from 1 species